rnacentral:hammerhead_ribozyme from 1 species
ACCCAGAUGACGAGUCCCAAAUAGGACGAAAAGCGUUUCAAACUGGAU